UGCAAGUUAAACAUUUGACAGGAUUAAUUAGAUUGUCAGUAGCUUUUUCUACUUCAUAGUUCUAGAAGGAGAUAACUAAAAUCUGUUGAUAAUCGGAGCAAAUCGGAGUAAUAAAAUGUUUUUGACUGAACGUGCCUGUUCUUUUAGGUUGUUAGAAGAGAAGAUUAUUGUCAUUAUUGAUUAUUUCAGAUGCCACGAUUAUUCGGCAUUUUUGUAAUUUUUGUUUUGUGGUUGAGACCCAGACAAAGACCCAGACUUUCCUUUAAAGGUUCUUGUUAUAGAAUAAAGACUAUCAAAAACAUUGAAUACCUAAGGGAUACCUACUGAUACUCUAUGCGAGCUCCCAACCGUGCUUCCCUGUUCACUCCCAAUCAAGUUAGAUAA